UACGGGGGGAGCAAGCGUUGUUCGGAUUUACUGGGCGUAAAGGGCGCGUAGGCGGCCUCUGCAAGUCGACUGUGAAAUCUCCGGGCUUAACCCGGAACGGUCAGCCGAUACUGCAGGGCUAGAGUGCAGAAGGGGCAACUGGAAUUCUCGGUGUAGCGGUGAAAUGCGUAGAUAUCGAGAGGAACACCUGCGGCGAAGGCGGGUUGCUGGGCUGACACUGACGCUGAGGCGCGAAAGCCAGGGGAGCAAACGGG
rnacentral:rRNA from 1 species